AUAAAAGUUGAGAAUUAAUAUAAAAUUGGAAUAAGCAUUAAAAGAAUUUAAUUAAUAUGCAAGAAGGAAAAUAUGUUAAAAAGUGAAUGAAAGUUUGAUUUCUAAAAUAAAGUUGGAAGUGUAAAUAGAUUUUACCUGAAAUAACUUAGCUAAAUACAAUGAUGUUAUUAGUAAUUAUGUCAAAAUUAUUGUCUUAAACCUUCAAACCAUAUUAUUUGUUAAAGUCACAACAAAAAGAUCCUCAAUUAACUACCUAGUUAAUAAAAUUUUCAUGUAAAUUCUCAAAAAAAAAAAAAAAAAGAUUUUCAGCUAAAUUCACAAUAAAUGAUUUUAAAGUUAUUCCCUGGGUAAUAAAAUCGUCAGGUUAGUCUCCAAGAAAAGAUUUACAGUUAAAUUUGCACAUCCAAAAUGUUCAGUUAAUUUUUCAUGUAAGAAAAUUCUCAGAUAAACUCCUAGAUAACUAUCCCAAACUAAAUCUGCAAGUAGGUUACAUGGAGAUUUUUCUGCAAAUUAAUAAAAGAAUUUAUUUUUGUUACUUACUAGACAAUUUAUCCAUGAAAAAAAUUCUUGCAGAUUAAUUUUUCACAUAAUUUUGCAGGUAAUAUUUUCUGCAAAUUUGCGCCAAAUUCACCUGCAGAUUUUCUUGAGAAAAUAUUUUUUGCAAGUAAAAUAUACUAAAAUUUAGAUAUUUUAGAGUUUUGCAUGAAAAUCUCCAAAAAAUAUCUGUGGACGAAAUUCCAAGUAAUAUUCCCAGAUAUUCAGAAUUUUGCAAACCAAAAAGAGGCAAAACAAAAAAAAAUUGAAGUUCAACAAACUAUUCUUAUCCGUUGUGAGAAGGAGAAUUAUUGUUAUGAGGACAUAUGUAUAAGAAGCGAAAAAUGAUGAGGGUGCAUUCUUGAUGUUGUUUAUAUAGAUCUUUAGCAUGUAAAUAGAAAAAUCGUGUUGCAGAUUAGAAAGUUGCAAAAUUAUUAUUGUAUGUAGUAUUUAAUUUCUAAACACCAAAAAGUUCUCAUGCAUCUUUACAAAUAGUGUUUCAAGCGUAUGUUUAUUUAAUUUUCAUUGUUAAACUUAAAAUAUCUCAUGAGAAUUCUUCAAUAAGUGGAGCAAACAUUAUGGAAGCUGAACCUAUUAAAUCAAAGAAGAGAAAGAAAGAAUCAGGACAACAAGACAAUCCUCCUAAGAAGAAAUUCAAAGGAAAUUGCUUUAACUGUGGAAAAAUUGGCUAUAAGUUUACAAAUUGUCAACCUCUAAAAAAGAGCAAGAAAAAGGAUCAAGCAAAUAUGAAUGAAUUUAAAGACGACGUGAGGAUCUGUGUUAUGCUUUCGCAGUACAAUCUAGUUAAAAAUUUUGGAGAGUGGUGAAUUGAUUAAGGUGCCUCCAGCUACGUGUGUGAAAAUAAAGAACUAUUUGCGUUAUAUGCUCUGACUCAAGCGUAUAAGAAGAUAUUCAUGAAAAAAUUUUCUACGACGAAGGUUGAAGAAACAGGCAAGAUUUGCUUGAAGAUGACAUUGGGCAAGGUGGUGACACUAAACAAUGUUCUUCAUGUUUUGGUUUUGCGAAAGAACUUAGCUUCUACUUCACUUCUCACUAAGGAUGGAUUCAAAUGUGUAUUUGUUUCAAACAUAUUUCUAAUUAGUAAGGGUGAAGUGUAUGUAGGUAAAGGUUACCUCAUUGAGGUCCUUUUUAAGAUCAAUGAAAUAAAUAUUGAUAUGAAUAAGAGUUCUGUUUCUUCU